AUACGUAGGGGGCGAGCGUUGUCCGGAAUGAUUGGGCGUAAAGGGCGCGUAGGCGGCUUUGCAAGUCAGUAGUGUAAGUCCAUUUUUCCAGGAUGGAAGUGCUACAGAAACUGCGGAGCUUGAGUGCAGGAGAGGUUAUCGGAAUUCCCGGUGUAGCGGUGAAAUGCGUAGAGAUCGGGAGGAACACCAGAGGCGAAGGCGGAAAUCAGGACUGCAACUGACGAUGAGGCGCGAAAGUGUAGGGAGCAAACAGGAUAAGAUACACUGGUAGUCCACACUUUAACCGAAGAAUGCUAGGCGGAGGAGGUAUCGAGCCCUUCUGUGCCGCAGUAAAAACAAUAAGCAUUCCGCCUGGUGCGUACGGUAGCAAGAUUAAAACUCAAAGGAAUUGACGGUG
rnacentral:rRNA from 1 species